AGAAGAAAAGACGAGAUGUAGCUCCUUCCUCUCUCUCUUUGUCCUCCAUCCUUUCACUUCAUUGUAUUGCAGUGUUUACAGGCAAAAAAACAAUAAUAAAAAAGAUGCCUGUAAACACUGCGCUAUCAUUUCUACCGAAUAACUAUAAAUUGUAUUCCAGCCGAUAGUAUGUCUGUGCAAACUACAUUCAAACUGUGACGGUCAACUAAAUGCACAUUUUUUUUAUUUUUAUUUGAUUUGAUUUGAUGAGUCAAACGCAACGUUUGGGUCACGCAGCACGCGCAUUCCAGAAUGUGAAAUAAUGACCAAGAGAGCAGUCAGUGCUGCCGUACUGCGGUCAAGCAUUUACCUCUUAAAUCAGCUCUGUGUUUGGCCACGGCUCGUGGCCGCGCGCACUGGAAGACGCAGCGGGUUCAAUGCGCCUCGGCUGGGAAAGAGAAGCUGGAAGGAGGAAAGAGACGAAGCUGCUGGCUGCGAGAAAGAGGAACAUUGAGCUCUGAUGAUCUGCGAUAUGAUCCAUGUUUGAGGAUGACUACUGCAUAGCAAGACAGAAAUAUUGCGUGGCUGCAGAAGUGUCACAUCUCUAAACAGAGACAGAAGCAGAGGUCAUGGAGGGUAGGGCUAAAAGAAAAAGAACUGAACCUCCAACCUCUAAUCCAACUUGGAUAAGAGGCUCAUACCAGCUUCAGCAACUGACAACAUGUUACACACAAGACAAGGACACUUGGAAUGUGUCUAUCAUUAUAUUUUUAAUUUGAUUCUUUGAUUACAUAAUUAAAUAAUUAAUUAAAUAUUUAAUUCAAAUAAAAAA